ACGCCGCGGCCCAGGCCCGGCCUGAUGGGCCACAGGUGGAGCUGCCGGUGCUCCUCUGGGUGUUCAGUCCAGAGCAGGUUUAAAGAGGUCCAAGAAAAAGAAAAAAAACACAGUCCAGGGAACUUCUUUGCCUCAGCUAGCUAAAGCUAACUAAAAGCAAAGGAGAGCUCUGUCCUGCUGUCUGUCCACCCGCAGAAGCACAGUCCAGGAGGAGGAAUGUGGAGGAGUGAGUGCAGUGUCUGAAAAGAAACUGUGCUCUUCUUCCCUCUCCCCUUCACUCUCUGGAACAAGGCUUAAAGUAUGUCAGAAUGAUGGAAGAUGUAGCCCAUCAAGCUGCCAAAAACAUGAAGUGUGGAAUAUAAAUAGAUGUUUUCAGUGUCACAGGUGCUGCUGAAUUGUCUGGAGACAUACUAUUCAAAUUUGCAGUUUCCAGGUCCUGAAGUGUCUCCCUCAAAACAUGCUG